AAUAUUGGGCAAUGGGCGAAAGCCUGAUCCAGCCAUGCCGCGUGUGUGAAGAAGGUCUUCGGAUUGUAAAGCACUUUAAGUAGGGAGGAAGGUGUUGAAGCAAAUCCCUUCACUCUUUGACGUAACCAACAGAAUAAGCAUCGGCUAACUCGCUGCCAGCAGCCGCGGUAAUACAGAGGGUGCAAGCGUUAACCGGAAUUACUGGGCGUAAAGCGCGCGUAGGUGGUUCAGUAAGAUGGAAGUGAAAUCCCCGGGCUUAACCUGGGAACUGCUUUCAUAACUGCUGAGCUAGAGUACGGUAGAGGGUAGUGGAAUUUCCUGUGUGGCGGUGAAAUGCGUAGAUAUAGGAAGGAACACCAGUGGCGAAGGCGACUACCUGGACUGAUACUGACACUGAGGUGCGAAAGCGUGGGGAGCAAACA
rnacentral:rRNA from 1 species